UUUGCCUCAGGGCUGCGCGUGGGCCCGGCGGCGGUUGCUGUGCUCCACGCGUCGCUCCCUGGGCAGCGGAAGCUGCUGUAGCGAUUAGUACUCGCAAAUAAGAAAGAAGAGGUUUGUCAGUCAAGAGUGACAGAAAAAAUCAUUUUAUUAAGCGCAGAUUCUCGUACAGGUGGUGAAUAUCUGCAAAUGAACGUUCGCAAGCUCCUGUGAUUGGAGGUGUGCUCCAGGAUUGGUUCCUGACACUGGAAGGCUCACCUCCCUCCUCCCGUGCCCCUCACCCCUCCUGUUUCUGUCGGCUUUGAUCGCCGUGGACAAGCCCUUCAGAUCAGUGCUUCUGAAGGAUUGAGGGCUGUUGUUGCACAGAUGCUGAGAGCUCCAAGAUCAAGGUGCCAGCAGAUUUAGUGUCUGGUGAGGGCUCAAGUCUUGGUUCAUAUGUGUCUGAAAAAGGCAGGGGGGUUCUCUGGGUCUCUCUUAUAGAUUGCAUUCGCUGGGUCUCUUUUUAUGAUUGCAUUCAUGUGUGCUCUGCCCUCAUGAACUAAUCACCUCCCAAAGGCCCACCUCUUAAUACCACCAUCACAUUGGGGGUUAGGAUUUCUACAUAUGGAUUUUGAGGAGUUACAAAUAUUCAGUCUAUAGCAAUACUAGAGAAGCAUAGUAGCAUAGCCGGGCAAAAUUGAGUGGACAUUUGAUGUUUGUGGCCUUGUGAGUAUGUUGCUGAGAUAGGGUGGAAAAAGGAUCAUAGGAGCCAAGGAGAUCAAGAAACUGAAAGAUGAGAGUGGUGGGUGGGCGGACUGCCUGGGUGUCGGUAGAUAGGUUAGUAGCUGACCUAGUCCUUGAAUCCAGAUAUCCUGCCUUAGCAUAAUGUGGUACCAUUUUACUGAGAAAUUAUUCAAAUUGUUACUGUUUUGUGCCACCUACACUUCCAAUUAACAUUUUCUCAAAAAUUGUGGCCUGGUAUUUUUUUGUUCCAUAUGUCUAAAUUCUAGACUUUCAAUGACUGAUAUUUUUAACUCUUGUCCCUUUAAUAUUUACUUGUUAAAUUUUUUGGCUUGUUUAUCUGCCUGUGUGUGUAUUUUGUUUUUGUUUUAAAUCAGAUUUAUUAUCAUUUAUAUAUCAUACUAUUCAUAACCUAUUUAUUUAAAGUAUACAUUUCAGUGCUUUUGGUGUAUUCACAGAUAUGAAUAACUAUCGCUGUGGUUUUGGAACAUUUUCAUCACCUUAAAAAGAAAUGCCAUGCCUUGUUGCUAAAAUCUUUGUGUCCUCCCCAUUCCUAACCCUACGCAACUACUAAUCUACUUUCUGUCUCUGUAGAUUUCCCUGUUAUAUACUUUCACAUAAAUGGAUAAUAUGUAAUCUUUUGUGAUUGGCUUUUUUCAUUUAGUAUUAUGUUUUCAAGGUUUAUCAUAACAUGUAUUUUUAAUGGCUGGAU